UGCCUACUUAGAUCUAGGUCCGACUUCUUAGCUUUAUCCGAACACUUUCCUUUUCUUCUUCGAGCUCCAACCCUUGUCUCUUCGAUUCUUCCUGAGAGAUGAGAGAAUGUGACGAUUGAUUUCCAACAUAGUUGACAAGGAAGACCGAAUUGAUCCCAAUUCCCAUGGAAUAGGAACUGAAAGCAUAAACCUCGUUUACUGGCCGGUGAAGCUUGCCGAAUUCCUGGAGUUUCACCCUCGAGCAUUGUGGUGGGUUGACAAAGAUUGAGUUGCGGAAUCUUCAAAAUAUUAGGUCAGUUUCUAUUGGGACGAACAGAAACCAGCAUGUUAAAAUCCACGCACCAACUCUGGAACACUUGUCUUAUUUUGGUGCUCGAGAAAAUUUACCUAUGUUGGAUAUUGUUGAAGGUCAGAAUCUGAAAUCUUUAGAGAUAUUUGGUGUUUCGACGCCUGUUUCGUAUCUUGAUCAAGUGACUGGAAAAAUCAGCAUCAUGAAAGAAUUGGAGUCAUUGUACAAUUCUCAUGAUAUACAAAAUUUGCAAUACUUCUGUUAUAUCCCUUAGUAUCAGUACUGUAGUGGCCCUAUUGUACACCAGUUUUCGUUUCACAAUUAGAUGGUGAUGCCAAAACUUGUUUCAUCACCCAAAAUAUGUACUGCUUUUGCAGUAGUACAAUUUGAUUUUGUUAAUGUUAGCUGAUAGCUUUUGUUUGCCAUAUUUAAAACAAUGAAUCAAGGAAAAGUUACAUAUGGCUUGGUUUUUC